rnacentral:lncRNA from 10 species
CACUGCCAGUGGCACACACUUCAGCCUAAGCAGAAGCUGCAGUGGACAGCAGCAGAGUCUGUCCUCAGAGCAUGUGUGUGGCAGCCCUGCUGCUAGAAAGGGUGGGGUUGCUAUCUGUAAUAGCCACCUCAGGUAGGCAGUUCUUAGGCACUGGGGAGCACAUGCUUUGGCUCCCUUUGUCCCAGGAGCAGCCUCCCUGGUGCGCUGCACUGUUGUUUCUGGGGUGCAGGACACCAUGUGUGCUACAAUGCUGGGGAUCUGGCCACUCCACUGGGUACAACUGGCAUCACACUGCUGCAGCCCUCCAGGAUGUGUCACAGCUCCACUGGCAUGCAGUCUCCCUCAUUGUGAUAAAUCAAUGAAUGUAACUUGUUGGAUUAUAAGGUUGUUCCUGGUGGUUUUGGCUGGUUGGUUGAGGACAGUGGUAAACAAGUAGCAAAGACAAUAUUGCCGCAGGGGGAAAUGCUGGCAUCAGUGCUGCUAUCUAGCAAAUGAGUCUUGGGCUCAAUGUAGUUGGAAGUUGGCUCUUAGACUUGCACAUUAACUUGGGGAUCCAGGAAUAAGGCUAACGUAGACUCAAGUCCAUAAUGACCCUGGGACCUGGUAGAAGUAAAUUCAAUACUUCUGGCCAAAAGCAUCCACAGCGUGGGCCCCCAAGAUUCCCACAGAUAAACAUCAACCAAAUAUGAGCUCACAAUGAAGAUUUUCAAACACUCAAGAAAAAAGUCAACCAUAGUGCAAAUCAGUAGGAUAUUGAUACUGAAAUUAUCAAGUAUAGUUUACAAAAUAAUGUCUGAAAUGUUUAAAGAAAUAAGCAAUGAAAUAAUCUAAACAAUAAGAUAUUCUCAAAAUAUUUGCCUUCUAUUCCUUGAACAAAUAUAUAAACAUUUGCACAUAUAGUGCUCUUUCUGCUGGAACAUUAUGCCAUCCUUCAUUUUACUUGUUUACUAGUUUAUUGUCUGUCUCGCACCCCCAUGACCCCCAGGAAUGUAAAUUACACAAGGGCUGGGGUUAUUUUCUGGUAUGUUCACUGCUUUAUCUCUAGCAUUUAGAACAGUGCCUGGCACAAUACAUAAAUAUUUGUUGACCAAAAGGACUCACUGUGGAAUUCAAUGUUCAACUUACCUUCAGAUUUUCUUUGCUGCUCCUUCAGAAAAUGAGGAGCAUCUUCUCUGGUUACAGACUUGGAAAUGUUCAGUUCUAAACAAGAUCUUGGUAGCAAAAAGCCCAAGUUCACAUUGCAGAGCUCCCUGGAACUUUCCUCUUUUUGCAAAACUAAGGGCCGCAUGGUCAGCUUCUUUUUCCUGAGCUCCACCGUUUCUAUUUCAUUUGGAUGAGAAACUGCAUGUGCUUGUGCCCAUUCUUGAAGCGAUGAGUUUAUCAGACUAAAGGGGGAGGGAAAUGUUUGAUUUAAAACUCAGUUGCCACAUCUUCUGGAUCUCCAGUCCUCAGUUCAGCCUGACAUCACUAGAAAGUUUGAAGAACUACUUCCAAAUGGUGCUGCUGAAAGGAAAGGCUGAAUCCUGAGAGGGUAAGACAUCUCCACCUGCUGACUCCUCCUGGCCUCCUUAGCCCUCUGUACCAUCGCUUGGAUGGAUUAGGUUUCAGCUCACUCUCGUUUUCCCAAUCACCAUUUCCUUGCACAGAGAAAUCAGAGACCAAGGGCAGGCCUGGGGGAUGUACCCUUUUAUCUCCACAGGUACUGACUAGCCCAGUGUUUCUCAAACUAUUUUUGAUGAAGAACCAGCAUUUAAAUUUCCAGUCAUUGUGAACUGAUACUUUUGUAAAAUAUAAAUGAAUUGCCAUAAAAAUGGAAGAAAAAUAAAAGACAUGCAAAAAAUAAGCCUCAAUUUGUUUCACUACCCGAUCAAUGAACGUAAGUUAUUUGCCAAAUUGCUUUGCAACUUUUUUAAUGGUCACCCUCGCAGCCUGUCCUGACCUCAUCAUGGACUAGUAACAGGACCACAGAACCACAUUCUAAGUAGCUCUGCCCUGCAGUAGGGUCAGCAAACUACAGCCCGGGGACCAAAUCCAGCCUUCAGCCUUUUUCUGUAGCUUUAAUUGGAUCACAG